rnacentral:rRNA from 1 species
GAUGAACGCUGGCGGCGUGCUUAACACAUGCAAGUCGAGCGAGAAAAGUUCUUCGGAGCUUUUCUAGCGGCGGACGGGUGAGUAACACGUGGGCAACCUGCCUCAUAGAGGGGCAUAGCCUUCCGAAAGGAAGAUUAAUACCGCAUAACAUUGUUGAAAGGCAUCUUUUAACAAUCAAAGGAGCAAUCCGCUAUGAGAUGGGCCCGCGGCGCAUUAGCUAGUUGGUGAGGUAACGGCUAACCAAGGCGACGAUGCGUAGCCGACCUGAGAGGGUGAUCGGCCACAUUGGAACUGAGACACGGUCCAGGCUCCUACGGGAGGCAGCAGUGGGGAAUAUUGCACAAUGGGGGAAACCCUGAUGCAGCAACGCCGCGUGAGUGAUGAAGGUCUUCGGAUUGUAAAGCUCUGUCUUUAGGGACGAUAAUGACGGUACCUAAGGAGGAAGCCACGGCUAACUACGUGCCAGCAGCCGCAGUAA